GCACGUACUCGGGCGCCGCGCGAUCGGCCGGCACGGCGCGUCCCGCGCGAUAUGCGCGCAGCGCGACGUGCGCGAUCGGCAGCGCAUGCGGCAGCGCGUUCGCGUCGAUCGCCUGCGCGCGCGCGCAGGCGGGCAGACGCUCGCCGAACGCGGCCGCCGCGUUGCCGGCGAGCACGAACGGCGCAUCGGGCGCCCGCACGUCGGCGGGCGCCGCGAGCGACGCGGGCACGAGCGCCUGCCAGUCGCCCGCCGCGUCGUCCCACGCGUAGUCGGCCCAAUAGACCUCGUCCAUGCGCGCAUCGAGCGCGGCGAGCACGCGCGUCGCGCGGCCGGCGGCGGCGCCCGCGUUCAGGCGCGCGGCUUCGGCGCACGCGAGGAGCGUGCCGACCGGCACGACAGGCAGCGCGCGGCCGAACGCGAGCCCUUGCGCAACGCCGGUGGCGGUGCGCAGCCCGGUAAACGAGCCGGGCCCCGCGCCGAACGCGAUCGCAUUGCAAUCGGCGAACGCGAGGCCCGCUUCGUCGAGCACCUCGCGCACGGCGGGCAGCACGCGCGUGCUCGACACGGCGCCCGUGCGCUCGUGGCGGACCCAGGUUCGGAAGGAAGCGGCGUCGGCCGUCGGGCCGUCCGCGGCGAGCAGCGCGACCGAGCAGAACUCGGUCGACGUAUCGAUGGCGAGGAGCACUGUUUGCGUCAUGGCCGACAUUGUAAUGCGGCGCCCCGCCCGCACGGGCGAUCGGCUCCGAUUCGCGCGCGUGCGCCGGGCGCGAAUCGGUUUGGAAGGAACGCUCGACCCGCCGCCCGCCCCCGCUUGCUAAGAUCGUCGGCCUGGAAAAGCCAGCCUGGAAACCCUGACGGAGACACCCAUGAGCGACAUCACCGCCCAAUUCGAGCAAGCGCAGAUCGACGUGAAGCAACUGACCGAGCGUCCCGGCAACCUGACGCUGCUGCGUCUGUACGCGCUCUUCAAGCAGGCGACCGACGGCGACGUGCACGGCGACAAGCCGGGCUUCACCGACAUCGUCGGCAAGUACAAGUACGACGCGUGGGACGCGCUGAAGGGCACGCCGCAAGACGACGCGAAGAAGCAAUACGUCGAGCUCGUCGAAUCGCUGAAGAACGGCACCGCCUCCUGACGGCGGCGCGCGCGUCGGCCGGCCCCGCGCCGGCCGCGUGCGGGCACCGGCGCGCGACGCGCCACCGCGGCGCGCCCUUCGCCGCGCGCGAAAUCAACGGUGGCGCGGCGCAGCAAAAACCGGUAUGAUGCGGGCUGCGCGUCCCGACGGGCGCUCUGCCGGCUGAAGCCGGCAUCCCUCGUCGCCAGCGUUCCAUAGCGUUUCGCUCCAAUCCAGUUUAGAACCUGUCCCUUCCUGCGUGGCCCCUAGCGGGCUGUCAAGUCUCAGGCUGGCGGCAUGCGCAUCCGAUGCGCGCCGCACCCAAAAACAGCUUCUAACGAAAUUGUUGUCCGCACGUCGUCGACAUGCGGACAAUCGCCACGUUUCCCGAUUUGCUCGAUGAAUCCGUCGACUUGGGUAUGCGCGAUUGGCGCGGCGUUCGACCCACUGUGUUUCAAGGAUUGACAUGACUUCGAGCCAUUCCCUCAGCCCGCUCAACGCGAUCGCCGACGAGGCGCUCGGCCUGCCCGCCGCCGCCGCUCAACCGGCCGCGAGCGAGGCCGGCGACGCCUGCGACGCCGCGUCGGACGAACCGACGUUCGCGUCGCUCGGCCUGUCGCCGGAGAUCGUCUCCGCGCUGCAGGCGGCCGGCUACGUGAAGCCGACGCCCGUGCAGCAGCGCGCGAUUCCGGCCGGCAUCGCCGGCCGCGACCUGCUCGUGUCGAGCCCGACGGGCUCCGGCAAGACGGCCGCGUUCAUGCUGCCCGCGAUCGAGCGCUUCGCGCAGUUGCAAAAGGCGCAGGCGCAGCAGCCGCGCGCGCCGCGCGAAGGGCAGCCGGGCGAGCGCCGCGGCCGCCGCCCGCAACCCGUCGCGCGCCCCGGCCUGCUCGUCCUCACGCCGACGCGCGAGCUCGCGAUGCAGGUGACGACGGCCGCGUCGACGUACGGCAAGCACCUGCGCCGCCUGCGCACGGUCAGCAUCCUCGGCGGCGUCGCGUACGGCCAGCAGUUGAUGCUGCUCGCGAAGAACCCGGAGAUCCUCGUCGCGACGCCGGGGCGCCUGCUCGACCACCUCGAGCGCGGCCGCAUCGAUUUGUCCGAACUGAAGAUGCUCGUGCUCGACGAAGCCGACCGCAUGCUCGACAUGGGUUUCAUCGACGACAUCGACACGAUCGUCGCGGCGACGCCCGCGACGCGCCAGACGAUGCUGUUCUCGGCGACGCUCGACGGCAAGAUCGGCUCGCUCACGAACCGUCUGCUGAAGGAUCCGGAGCGCAUCGAGAUCACGCAGAAGAUCGAAUCGCGCUCGAACAUCGCGCAAACCGUGCACUACGUCGACGACCGCGAUCACAAGGAUCGCCUGCUCGAUCACCUGCUGCGCGAUGUCGCGCUCGAUCAGGCGAUCAUCUUCACCGCGACCAAGAUCGACGCCGACCAGCUCGCCGGCCGCCUCGCCGACGCCGGCUUCCAGUCGGCCGCGCUGCACGGCGACCUGCCGCAGGGCGCGCGCAACCGCACGAUCCGCGCGCUGCGCGAGCGCCGCGUGCGCGUGCUCGUCGCAACCGACGUCGCCGCGCGCGGGAUCGACAUCCCCGGCAUCACGCACGUGUUCAACUACGACCUGCCGAAGUUCGCCGAGGACUACGUGCACCGGAUCGGCCGCACCGGCCGCGCGGGCCGCUCCGGCACCGCGGUGAGCCUCGUGCAUCACGCGGAGCAAGGCGCGCUCAAGCGCAUCGAGCGCUUCGUGCGCGCGCCGCUGCCGGUGAAUGUCGUCGAAGGCUUCGAGCCGCGCAAGGCGCCGCCGCCGCGUAACGAUCGCGGCAACGGCCGCGGCCGUCCGGGCGGCAACGGCAAUGGCGGCCGCCGGUUCGGCGGCAAGCCGGGCGGCGGCCAUGGCGGCGGCCGCUCCGGCGGCUGGAGCGGCAAGCCGGGUGGCGGCAACCGUGAAGCCUACGGCGCGCGGCGCGGCGACGGCCAGCGCAACGGCCCGCGCCG
rnacentral:rRNA from 1 species